AAAAGUUACUUACUGUGAAAAUAAAAGGAUGCAAAUAAAAAAAGGAACAAUGGAAGUUGUUUAAAAACACUUCAGUUGUGGCUCUCUUUGUUUGCAUCCUUUUAUUUUCGCAGUAGGUAACUUUUU